UACGUAGGGGGCAAGCGUUGUCCGGAAUCAUUGGGCGUAAAGCGCGUGUAGGCGGCUCGAUAAGUCUGCUGUGAAAGUCCAGGGCUCAACCCUGGGAUGCCGGUGGAUACUGUCGAGCUCGAGUCCGGAAGAGGCGAGUGGAAUUCCUGGUGUAGCGGUGAAAUGCGCAGAUAUCAGGAGGAACACCAAUGGCGAAGGCAGCCCGCUGGGACGGUACUGACGCUGAGGAACGAAAGCGUGGGGAGCGAACAGG
rnacentral:rRNA from 1 species